CAAUGUGGAAAGACAGGGAGCACCUUCUUUAACAUUCAGGUCACGCUGGGAUAACCUAAGUCACUCUACAGCCUCACCAAAGAGAGGCACCCUCUCCUGGGUGGGAGGAGCCCACAGAGACCUGAGGCUGGAGGGAUUCCCUGGUGGGAAAGGCACGCAGGGCUUCAGGGAGACUUGCUGAAGUCUCCAGGGGAAGCCCUGAGCCAGAGCUGGGGUCAGGACUCGCUGGAGCCAGCACCACAGCUCCGUGUACAGUAAGAGCUCAGAGAGCAACUGAAUUUGGGUGGCUGGAAAACCAAGUGGUCAG
rnacentral:lncRNA from 1 species